GAUGAACGCUGGCGGCGUGCUUAACACAUGCAAGUCGAACGGUGAAGCCAAGCUUGCUUGGUGGAUCAGUGGCGAACGGGUGAGUAACACGUGAGCAACCUGCCCUGGACUCUGGGAUAAGCGCUGGAAACGGCGUCUAAUACUGGAUAUGAGCCCCUAUCGCAUGGUGGGGGUUGGAAAGAUUUUUUGGUCUGGGAUGGGCUCGCGGCCUAUCAGCUUGUUGGUGAGGUAAUGGCUCACCAAGGCGUCGACGGGUAGCCGGCCUGAGAGGGUGACCGGCCACACUGGGACUGAGACACGGCCCAGACUCCUACGGGAGGCAGCAGUGGGGAAUAUUGCACAAUGGGCGAAAGCCUGAUGCAGCAACGCCGCGUGAGGGAUGACGGCCUUCGGGUUGUAAACUUCUUUUAGCAGGGAAGAAGCGAAAGUGACGGUACCUGCAGAAAAAGCGCCGGCUAACUACGUGCCAGCAGCCGCGGUAAUACGUAGGGCGCAAGCGUUAUCCGGAAUUAUUGGGCGUAAAGAGCUCGUAGGCGGUUUGUCGCGUCUGCUGUGAAAUCCCGAGGCUCAACCUCGGGCCUGCAGUGGGUACGGGCAGACUAGAGUGCGGUAGGGGAGAUUGGAAUUCCUGGUGUAGCGGUGGAAUGCGCAGAUAUCAGGAGGAACACCGAUGGCGAAGGCAGAUCUCUGGGCCGUAACUGACGCUGAGGAGCGAAAGGGUGGGGAGCAAACAGGCUUAGAUACCCUGGUAGUCCACCCCGUAAACGUUGGGAACUAGUUGUGGGGACCAUUCCACGGUUUCCGUGACGCAGCUAACGCAUUAAGUUCCCCGCCUGGGGAGUACGGCCGCAAGGCUAAAACUCAAAGGAAUUGACGGGGACCCGCACAAGCGGCGGAGCAUGCGGAUUAAUUCGAUGCAACGCGAAGAACCUUACCAAGGCUUGACAUAUACGAGAACGGGCCAGAAAUGGUCAACUCUUUGGACACUCGUAAACAGGUGGUGCAUGGUUGUCGUCAGCUCGUGUCGUGAGAUGUUGGGUUAAGUCCCGCAACGAGCGCAACCCUCGUUCUAUGUUGCCAGCACGUAAUGGUGGGAACUC
rnacentral:rRNA from 1 species